AUUGAACGCUGGCGGCAGGCCUAACACAUGCAAGUCGAGCGAGCGGCGGACGGGUGAGUAAUGUAUGGGGACUGCCCGCUAGAGGGGGAUAACUCCUGGAAACGGUAGCUAAUACCGCAUACUAUAGGAGAACGCAGAUGGGAUUAGCUAGUAGGUGAGGUAAUGGCUCACCUAGGCGACGAUCCCUAGCUGGUCUGAGAGGAUGAUCAGCCACACUGGGACUGAGACACGGCCCAGACUCCUACGGAGGCAGCAGUGGGGAAUAUUGCACAAUGGGCGCAAGCCUGAUGCAGCCAUGCCGCGUGUAUGAAGAAGGCCCUAGGGUUGUAAAGUACUUUCAGUCGGGAGGCGUUACCGGCAGAAGAAGCACCGGCUAACUCCGUGCCAGCAGCCGCGGUAAUUC
rnacentral:rRNA from 1 species